ACUGUGUGAUUUUUGUUCUUUAGUAGAAGGAUAACAUGACAUAGCAGGAAUAAUACUGCCUUUUCUUUCUGGCAUGGAUCAAGAGAAAAGAAAAUACAAGAAAACAGACAGAAGAUCCUAUCUGCGACAAUUAAGAGCACUCUAAGAGGAAAACACAUCCCACCACACAAGGCAAGGUACUUCUAUGGAAGGGUGAGCCCUCACAGAUGGAGCAAUGGGGCGCGCACACCUGAACAAGGGAGGGGAAGGAGUUCUUAUCCCUGAUGCAUGUGACCCCUGCUGCUGUGUCCUUCCCCUAUUGGCUAAGGCUUCUGACAGCUUUGGAGAUUGUGACAUUGGAAUAAAGGAAAAACGUACAGGACUCAUGAAGCGCUGAAAUGUUCACAAAUAUCAAGCAAAAGUCAAUGAAAUUUAUUUUGAGCUAUUUACAUCAUUUAAUAAUUGAGCAAGGUAUACUCCUAUGAACAAAAUUUGGAGCAUGUUUGUCUCUCUCUGCCUGGCGUCUUCAGAAUUUGGAAACUAGUUAUGGUUUAUAAUCAGCUAUAGAAUUUUAACACGUGCUCUCAAAUGCAAGUUUCUGAUAACUUUGGAGAUUGUGACAUUGGAAUAAAGGAAGAGCUGGAAUGUUCAUGAAUAUCAAGCAAAAGUCAUGGAAAUUUAUUUUGAGCUAUUUACAGCAUUUAAUAAUUGAGCAAGGUAUACUCCUAUGAACAAAAUUUGGAGCAUGUUUGUCUCUCUCUGUCUGCCUGGCAUCUACAGAAUUUGGAAACUAGUUUCGUUCCCAGAUUUCCUAAACUUUCCAGAGAAAAUGGUCUUCUCCCUGGCUCAGCAAGAAGAUGAACUUUAAACACUGAGAAACUGGUCAUCUCCCUGGCUCAACCAGAAGAUGAACUUUAAACACUACUCUCAAUGACUUGAUGUUCCCAUCACUACUCCUGUCAUAAAGGGAGGGGACUCAGAUAUUGAGAAUUUUAUGAUAGUGUGAACUGUCUGGUAUGUCAUUUAAGUAAGCCCGUUGCUGAAAUAUUUUCCAUGUUAUUAGAAAGAGCUGAAGAGAGGGAUUGAGAUGGCUUCUUUAUUUUUUGUCUUUUGGGAAUUAAAGGAACCUGGUUCAACAAGGGCCUACACCUAAGUCUCUUGUUGUACCAGAGUACAAUUUAGGACUGCUCCUGAGGAAGGAAUUAGCUAGAAAUCUAGAGAGUAAGGGUAACAGAUUUACAUAGAAUAACAGCCUCAGUAUUUUUGGUUCCUCUCCAGUAAAGAUCACAAAGAAUAUUGCUAAAUCGCUAAAACACCUUUGCAAUAACGUAAGGGCUUACAACUAUAUACCAAUGUAGCUCAGUUACUAAACUGGAGUAAACUAAUUUCUCUUGUGUAGAAAAAUUGGUUGGCUGUGGUUUUAUAGCAGAUCUGCAAUUAUUAAUAGUUAUGCCAAUAAUCGUUUAACAGUGCAUAUGUUAAUAUAUAUGGAAAGACAAUGUGUAUAGACAGAUGUGUAAAAUUGAAAAAUAAACAUAUAACAAGAGAGAAACAUCUAUCGAACAGACAAUAUACAUACACAUCAAACACAACAGCAGUUUUAGUGACCAUAAUAUUUAUUUCUCAUUUUUACAUUGCUUACUUUAGUGACAACUGAAAAUGACAGUUGGCAAUGCAGCUAACAGUUUCAAUAAAAGUAUAAAACAAAAGACUGUGUACAAAGCACCUGUCUUUCCGCUUUUGUAAUCUUCCGUUGGAAAAAAUUUACACACCUAAGUAACCAUCUGUUUUCUUCAAGAAAAAAUCAUUCUUAUUUCUCUCUCUCAUCUUGAAAACAGCUGUCAGCCAGGAGGGCAGAGCUGAAAUUUAUUGCCACAUCACAUGAAGCAUAGAACAGACUCCACUACUCCUUGAGAUUCAAAACUUUGCCUCUCACAAAGUUACCUUUUAUUUUCCUCUUGUUUGUCACUCAUCUCCCCUAGUGUGCUCUUUUUAUUUCUUUUACUAUUAAUAAUAAAAUCUGUGGAUGACUGUAUUAUU
rnacentral:lncRNA from 10 species